UUACGGCUAUAUCAUGUUGAAACACCGGUUCCCGUACGAUCACUGAAGUUAAGCAACGUCGAACAUGGUCAGUACCUUGAUGGGUAACCGCUUGGGAAUAGGAGGU